rnacentral:rRNA from 1 species
CUACGGGGUGCACCAGUGAGGAAUAUUGCACAAUGGGGGGAACCCUGAUGCAGCAACGCCGCGUGGAGGAUGACGCAUUUCGGUGUGUAAACUCCUUUUAUAUGUCAAGAAAAUGACGGUAGCAUAUGAAUAAGCACCGGCUAACUCCGUGCCAGCAGCCGCGGUAAUACGGAGGGUGCAAGCGUUACUCGGAAUCACUGGGCGUAAAGGACGCGUAGGCGGGUUGGAAAGUCAGGUGUGAAAUCCUACAGCUUAACUGUAGAACUGCACUUGAAACUUCUAAUCUAGAGUAUGGGAGGGGGAGAUGGAAUUAGUGGUGUAGGGGUAAAAUCCGUAGAUAUCACUAGGAAUACCUAAAGCGAAGGCGAUCUCCUGGAACAUUACUGACGCUAAGGCGUGAAAGCGUGGGGAGCAAACAGGAUUAGAUACCCGUGUAGUC